rnacentral:rRNA from 1 species
CCUACGGGUGGCAGCAGUGGGGAAUAUUGCACAAUGGGGGAAACCCUGAUGCAGCAACGCCGCGUGAAGGAAGACGGUUUUCGGAUUGCAAACUUCUAUCAAUAGGGAAGAAAGAAAUGACGGUACCUAAAUAAGAAGCCCCGGCUAACUACGUGCCAGCAGCCGCGGUAAUACGUAGGGGGCAAGCGUUAUCCGGAAUUACUGGGUGUAAAGGGAGAGUAGGCGGCAAGGUAAGCGAUAUGUGAAAGCCUUAAGCUUAACUUAAGGAUGGCAUAACGAACUAUCUAGCUAGAGUACAGGGGAGGAAAGCGGGAUUGCUAGUGUAGCGGUGAAAUGCGUAGAUAUUAGGAAGAACACCAGUGGCGGAGGCGGCUUUCUGGACUGAAACUGACGCUGAGGCUCGAAAGCGUGGGGAGCGAACAGGAUUAGAUACCCUUGUAGUC